CAGUAGCCGCGGUAAUACGGAGGGAGCUAGCGUUAUUCGGAAUUACUGGGCGUAAAGCGCACGUAGGCGGCUUUGUAAGUUAGAGGUGAAAGCCUGGAGCUCAACUCCAGAAUUGCCUUUAAGACUGCAUCGCUUGAAUCCAGGAGAGGUGAGUGGAAUUCCGAGUGUAGAGGUGAAAUUCGUAGAUAUUCGGAAGAACACCAGUGGCGAAGGCGGCUCACUGGACUGGUAUUGACGCUGAGGUGCGAAAGCGUGGGGAGCAAACAGGAUUAGAUACCCCUGUAGUCCCUGUCUCUUUACA
rnacentral:rRNA from 1 species